rnacentral:rRNA from 1 species
UACUUAAAANUAAGCGCCCUAUUUACUCAGAUGAGUCAAUCUUAAUCUUAUAAUACCUACACAUACCACCCAAGAACAGGGUCU